rnacentral:lncRNA from 1 species
GGCCUAGCGGUCUGGGUGUCGCGGCGGUACCCGGGGCGCCUCUCACCCCACAUUUCUGUUUUAGGGUCUGCCGGGCCCACAGGGUGCUACGGGACCUCCCGGCGAGAAGGUGAGAGCCGGGCCCCGCGCUCGGGGCACGCGGGGGACAGCAUCGCGUCCCGGCCCUCACUGCUGCCUCUGACCUCGGCUUCUCUCCCCGCAGGGCCCCCAAGGGAAACCCGGCCUGCCUGGCAUGCCCGGCUCUGACGGCCCCCCCGGCCACCCAGGGAAGGAGGGACCCCCCGGCACCAAAGGCAACCAGGGCCCGUCGGGUCCCCAAGGCCCCAUYGGCUACCCGGGCCCACGCGGUGUGAAG